UGAGCUAAAUGCCUGGCAAGC
rnacentral:miRNA from 1 species